rnacentral:rRNA from 1 species
GAUGAACGCUGGCGGCGUGCCUAAUACAUGCAAGUCGAGCGAACAGACGAGGAGCUUGCUCCUCUGACGUUAGCGGCGGACGGGUGAGUAACACGUGGAUAACCUACCUAUAAGACUGGGAUAACUUCGGGAAACCGGAGCUAAUACCGGAUAAUAUAUUGAACCGCAUGGUUCAAUAGUGAAAGACGGUUUUGCUGUCACUUAUAGAUGGAUCCGCGCCGCAUUAGCUAGUUGGUAAGGUAACGGCUUACCAAGGCAACGAUGCGUAGCCGACUGAGAGGGUGAUCGGCCACACUGGAACUGAGACACGGUCCAGACUCCUACGGGAGGCAGCAGUAGGGAAUCUUCCGCAAUGGGCGAAAGCCCGACGGAGCAACGCCGCGUGAGUGAUGAAGGUCUUCGGAUCGUAAAACUCUGUUAUUAGGGAAGAACAAAUGUGUAAGUAACUAUGCACGUCUUGACGGUACCUAAUCAGAAAGCCACGGCUAACUACGUG